rnacentral:rRNA from 1 species
CACGUAGGGCGCAAGCGUUGUCCGGAAUUAUUGGGCGUAAAGAGCUCGUAGGCGGUCUGUUACGUCUGCUGUGAAAACCCUGGGCUUAACCCUGGGCUUGCAGUGGAUACGGGCAGACUAGAGGCAGGUAGGGGAGAAUGGAAUUCCCGGUGUAGCGGUGAAAUGCGCAGAUAUCGGGAGGAACACCAAUGGCGAAGGCAGCUCGCUGGGACGGUACUGACGCUGAGGCGCGAAAGCGUGGGGAGCAAACAGG